rnacentral:misc_RNA from 1 species
GAUGAAGAACGCAGCGAAAUGCGAUAAGUAAUGCGAAUUGCAGAAUUUCCGUGAGUCAUCGAAUCUUUGAACGCACAUUGCGCCCACUGGUAUUCCGGUGGGCAUGCCUGUUCGAGCGUCAUUAUCCUCCCUCAAACCCCGGGUUUGGUGUUGGACCCGAGUUGUGUGAACAACUGGUCUCAAAGACAAUGACGGCGUCCGUGGGACCCUCGGUGCAACGAGCUUUUAGGAGCACGCAUCGAGUUGCAAGGACCUUCCGGGCCGGUCUCCUUUACCAUUUUACAAGGUUGACCUCGGAUCAGGUAGGAAUACCCGCUGAACUUAAGCAUAUCAAUAAGCGGAGGA